UGAAUUUGUGGACCUCCCUCCUGCAAGAUUCUGUCAGGACAAGCUGGGAAGUUGGAUGUCUGAGACAGAUCAAGAUGAUUUUCCAACCACCAGCACGCAAUAACCUUCAAUCUGAUGGACUGUCACUUUUCUGAUGAAGAAUCACUUGUUUGGAGACUCGAAUUCCUAUUAUCUCAACAAAUAGGGAAUGGUGGCUCAGAAAAUUGUGUCAUGAGGUCACCCAGGUUCUCCACAUCAGAGCCAAGGAUAAACUGGAACAGGUCUGGUGGAAGGUCAUCAAAAAGUUUUCAGAAGUGCUACCUGAGGUUGGGAGAUCCACAGCUGGGAGUGGAGACUCUUGGCCUUAGAGAAGGAGUACAGAGGUGCCAAGCCUGGCUGCAUCACUGGGAAUCCUGCUGGGAAUCUUUCAGUAAUGCUGGGGAGUUCUC